UAUAACACUCCCAUAGUUAAA
rnacentral:piRNA from 1 species